GGCUCAGGAUGAACGCUAGCGGCAGGCUUAACACAUGCAAGUCGAGGGGCAGCGCGAGUAGCAAUACUUGGCGGCGACCGGCGCAAGGGUGCGUAACGCGUGAGCAACAUGCCCGUAUCAGGGGGAUAAUCCAGGGAAACUUGGUCUAAUACCCCAUAGUAAUUUUUGUAAGGCAUCUUAUAAGAUUUAAAGCUUUGGUGGAUACGGAUUGGCUCGCGUGACAUUAGCUGGAUGGUAAGGUAACGGCUUACCAUGGCUAUGAUGUCUAGGGGUUCUGAGAGGAAGGUCCCCCCACACUGGAACUGAGACACGGUCCAGACUCCUACGGGAGGCAGCAGUGAGGAAUAUUGGACAAUGGAUGGAAAUCUGAUCCAGCCAUGCCGCGUGAAGGAAAGAAGGUCCUAUGGAUUGUAAACUUCUUUUGUAUGGGAGCAAUAAGGCCUACGAGUAGGUUGAUGAGAGUACCAUACGAAUAAGCACCGGCUAACUCCGUGCCAGCAGCCGC
rnacentral:rRNA from 1 species